rnacentral:rRNA from 1 species
GAAUAUUGCACAAUGGACGGAAGUCUGAUGCAGCGACGCCGCGUGGACGAAGAAGGCCUUCGGGUUGUAAAGUCCUUUUCAGGGGGAAGAGAGAGGACGGUACCCUUGGAAUAAGCGUCGGCUAACUACGUGCCAGCAGCCGCGGUAAGACGUAGGACGCGAGCGUUAUCCGGAUUUACUGGGCGUAAAGCGUCUGUAGGCGGGACAGUAAGUUGGGCGUGAAAGCUUCGGGCUUAACCCGGAGAGGACGUACAAGACUGCUGAACUAGAGGCCACCUGAGGGGCGUGGAAUUUCCGGUGUAGCGGUAAAAUGCGCAGAUACCGGAAGGAACACCAGUGGCGAAGGCGGCGCCCUGGGGUGGGCCUGACGCUAAGAGACGAAAGCUAGGGGAGCAAACAG